GGAUUCAAGGGUGAUCUGGCUGUGACAUUUGUCACCCCAUUGAUGGCCAGGAUUGAUAUUGCUGGCAUCCCUUUCCUCCCUCAACACUUUGUGUGUCCCUCCCAAAGCUGGGUGUUUGUUCUGAGGACAACUACCCUCAUAGAGAAGGACCAUUUCCUAGGUCGAUGGGAUUUUUGCUACAACCUCCAAAUAAGCACUCAAGGCCAGCCUACACUAUAUAGGGAGACUAUCUCAAAAAAAAAAAAAAAAAAAAAAAAAAUCACCUGAGGGUGUAGCUCAGUGACAGUGUUU
ensembl:misc_RNA 7SK 7SK RNA